rnacentral:rRNA from 1 species
AACAGGAUUAGAUACCCUGGUAGUCCACGCUGUAAACGAUGUCGAUUUGGAGUUUGGGGGCAUGACCCUUGGGCUCCGGAGCUAACGCGUUAAAUCGACCGCCUGGGGAGUACGGCCGCAAGGUUAAAACUCAAAUGAAUUGACGGGGGCCCGCACAAGCGGUGGAGCAUGUGGUUUAAUUCGAUGCAACGCGAAGAACCUUACCUGGUCUUGACAUCCAUAGAAUCUUUCAGAGAUGAGAGAGUGCCUUCGGGAGCUAUGAGACAGGUGCUGCAUGGCUGUCGUCAGCUCGCGUUGUGAAAUGUUGGGUUAAGUCCCGCAACGAGCGCAACCCCUAUCCUUUGUUGCCAGCACGUAAUGGUGGGAACUCAAAGGAGACUGCCGUUGAUAAAGCGGAGGAAGGUGGGGACGACGUCAAGUCAUCACGGCCCUUACGACCAGGGCUACACACGUGCUACAAUGGCGUAUACAAAGGGAUGCGAAGGUGCGAACUGGAGCGGACCUCACAAAGUACGUCUAAGUCCGGAUUGGAGUCUGCAACUCGACUCCAUGAAGUCGGAAUCGCUAGUAAUCGUGGAUCAGAAUGUCACGGUGAAUACGUUCCCGGGCCUUGUACACACCGCCCGUCACACCAUGGGAGUGGGUUGCACCAGAAGUAGAUAGCUUAACCUUCGGGAGGGCGUUUACCACGGUGUGGUUCAUGACUGGGGUGAAGUCGUAACAAGGUAACCA